GACGAACGCUGGCGGCGUGCUUAACACAUGCAAGUCGAACGAAGUGGCGAACGGGUGAGUAAUACGUGGGUAACCUGCCCUCCUUUUGGGAUAAGCCUUGGAAACGGGGUCUAAUACCGAAUAAAGGGGGAUGGGCUCGGGGCCUAUCAGCUUGUUGGUGGGGGGAUGGCCUACCAAGGCGGUGACGGGUAGCCGGGCGGAGAGGGUGAAAGGCCGCGUUGGGACUGCGGCACGGCCCAGACUCCGACGGGGGGCAGCAGUAGGGAAUUGUCGGGAAUGGGGGGAACCCUGACCGAGCAACGCCGCGUGAGUGAAGACGGCCUUCGGGUUGUAAAGCUCUGUUGGAAGAAAAGCAUUAUCUGACCAGAAAGCCACGGCUAACUACGUGCCAGCAGCCGCGGUAAUAC
rnacentral:rRNA from 1 species